UACGUAGGGGGCAAGCGUUGUCCGGAUUUAUUGGGCGUAAAGAGCGUGUAGGCGGCCAGGUAGGUCAGCUGUGAAAACUCGAGGCUUAACCUCGAGACGCCGGCUGAAACCCUCUGGCUAGAGUCCGGAAGAGGAGAGCGGAAUUCCUGGUGUAGCGGUGAAAUGCGCAGAUAUCAGGAAGAACACCGGUGGCGAAGGCGGCAUCCUGGACCAACACUGACACUGAGGAGCGAAAGCCAGGGGAGCAAACGGG
rnacentral:rRNA from 1 species